GAUUAUUUUCUAGUACCAGCCGAGGAAUUCGGUUAGUACUCACUUGUAUUCACUGUCACUUUUUCUCAUGUACUAAUUAUAAAUGACCAAAAUCAAGAUUGCUCAAAAGGGUAAAUGAUAGCCACAGUAUUGCUCCCUAAAAUAUGCAUAAAGUAGAAAUUCACUGCCUUCCCCUCCUGUCCAUGACCUUGGGCACAGGGAAGUUCUGGUGUCAUAGAUGUCCCAUUUUGUGAGGUAGAGCUGUGCAUUAAACUUGCACAUGACUGGAACAAAGUAUGAGUGCAACUCAAAUGUGUUGAAGAUACUGCAGUCAUUUUUGUAAAGACCUUGCUGAAUGUUUCCAAUAGACUAAAUACUGUUUAGGCCGCAGG
rnacentral:lncRNA from 1 species